CCUACGGGAGGCAGCAGUGAGGAAUAUUGGUCAAUGGCCGAGAGGCUGAACCAGCCAAGUCGCGUGAGGGAAGACGGCCCUACGGGUUGUAAACCUCUUUUGUCGGGGAGCAAAGCGAGCCACGUGUGACGCACUGAGAGUACCCGAAGAAAAAGCAUCGGCUAACUCCGUGCCAGCAGCCGCGGUAAUACGGAGGAUGCGAGCGUUAUCCGGAUUUAUUGGGUUAAAAGGGUGCGCAGGCGGAGGUGCAAGUCAGCGGUCAAAUUGCGGGGCUCAACCCCGUCGAGCCGUUGAAACUGGUUCCCUUGAUUGCGCGAGACGUAUUCGGCAUGCGUGGUGUAGCGGUGAACUGCAUCGAUAUCACGCAGCACUCCGAUUGCGAAGGCAGCAUACCGGCGCGCAACUGACGCUCAUGCACGAAAGCGUGGGUAUCGAACAGGAUUAGAUACCCUAGUAGUC
rnacentral:rRNA from 1 species